rnacentral:rRNA from 1 species
CUGUACCUACGGGAGGCAGCAGUGAGGAAUAUUGGUCAAUGGGCUUACGCCUGAACCAGCCAAGGCGCGUGAGGGAAGACUGCCCUAUGGGUUGUAAACCUCUUUUGUCAGGGAGCAACGCCGGCUACGUGUAGCCGGACUGAGAGUACCUGAAGAAAAAGCAUCGGCUAACUCCGUGCCAGCAGCCGCGGUAAUACGGAGGGUGCGAGCGUUAUCCGGAGUUAUUGGGUUUAAAGAGUGCGUAGGCGGGAUGCCAAGUCAGCGGUAAA